GGGUCAGAUGUGUUUUCAGAUUCCUUCUUAGAAUCCUAUGACAGCAUAUAAUCUAGAGUUAGAAAUAUGAAUCCAGAAGUUUAGCAGCAGUAAAGUAGGGAUAGAGUUUAUCUAGAUUUAGUAGACUAUGUAUCCAUGGGGAUAGUUGUAUGAAAGGUGAAUCAGUAGGCUUGAAACAGUGUAUGGAAGAAUUGAUGUUUAUUGAUUCAAAAUUUAGUAUGAUGAUGUGGG
rnacentral:lncRNA from 1 species